rnacentral:rRNA from 1 species
GACGAACGCUGGCGGCGUGCUUAACACAUGCAAGUCGAACGGAAAGGCCCUGCUUUUGUGGGGUGCUCGAGUGGCGAACGGGUGAGUAACACGUGAGUAACCUGCCCUUGACUUUGGGAUAACUUCAGGAAACUGGGGCUAAUACCGGAUAGGAGCUCCUGCUGCAUGGUGGGGGUUGGAAAGUUUCGGCGGUUGGGGAUGGACUCGCGGCUUAUCAGCUUGUUGGUGGGGUAGUGGCUUACCAAGGCUUUGACGGGUAGCCGGCCUGAGAGGGUGACCGGCCAAAUUGGGACUGAGAUACGGCCCAGACUCCUACGGGAGGCAGCAGUGGGGAAUAUUGCACAAUGGGCGGAAGCCUGAUGCAGCAACGCCGCGUGCGGGAUGACGGCCUUCGGGUUGUAAACCGCUUUCGCCUGUGACGAAGCGUGAGUGACGGGAAUGGGUAAAGAAGCACCGGCGAACUACGU